rnacentral:rRNA from 1 species
CCAUCACUGACGCUCAUGGACGAAAGCCAGGGGAGCGAAAGGGAUUAGAUACCCCUGUAGUCCUGGCCGUAAACGAUGAACACUAGGUGCCGGGGGAAUCGACCCCCUCGGUGUCGUAGCCAACGCGUUAAGUGUUCCGCCUGGGGAGUACGCACGCAAGUGUGAAACUCAAAGGAAUUGACGGGGGCCCGCACAAGCGGUGGAGUAUGUGGUUUAAUUCGAUGCAACGCGAAGAACCUUACCAGGGUUUGACAUCCUGCGAAUCUCUUGGAAACAGGAGAGUGCCUUCGGGAACGCAGUGACAGGUGGUGCAUGGCUGUCGUCAGCUCGUGUCGUGAGAUGUUGGGUUAAGUCCCGCAACGAGCGCAACCCACGUCUUUAGUUGCCAGCAUUUAGUUGGGCACUCUAGAGAGACUGCCGGUGAUAAACCGGAGGAAGGUGUGGAUGACGUCAAGUCAUCAUGCCCCUUACAUCCUGGGCUACACACGUACUACAAUGCUACGGACAGAGGGCAGCAAGUUCGCGAGGACAAGCAAAUCCCAUAAACCGUGGCUCAGUUCAGAUCGUAGGCUGCAACUCGCCUACGUGAAGGCGGAAUCGCUAGUAAUCGCAGGUCAGCAUACUGCGGUGAAUACGUUCCCGGGCCUUGUACACACCGCCCGUCACACCAUGGAAGUUGGCCACGCCCGAAGCCGUUACUCCAACCCUUGUGGAGGAGGACGUCGAAGGUGGGGCUGAUGACUGGGGUGAAGUCGUAACAAGGUAACC